rnacentral:rRNA from 1 species
AAUAGAUACCCGGGUAGUCCACGCCCUAAACGAUGUCUACUAGUUGUUGGUGGAGUAAAAUCCAUUAGUAACGCAGCUAACGCGUGAAGUAGACCGCCUGGGGAGUACGGUCGCAAGAUUAAAACUCAAAGGAAUUGACGGGGGCCCGCACAAGCGGUGGAUUAUGUGGAUUAAUUCGAUGCAACGCGAAAAACCUUACCUGGCCUUGACAUGCCACUAACGAAGCAGAGAUGCAUUAGGUGCCCGAAAGGGAAAGUGGACACAGGUGCUGCAUGGCUGUCGUCAGCUCGUGUCGUGGGAUGUUGGGUUAAGUCCCGCAACGAGCGCAACCCUUGCCAAUAAUUGCCAUCAUUCAGUUGGGCACUUUAUUGGGACUGCCGGUGACAAACCGGAGGAAGGUGGGGAUGACGUCAAGUCCUCAUGGCCCUUAUGGCCAGGGCUUCACACGUAAUACAAUGGUCGGUACAGAGGGUAGCCAAGCCGCGAGGUGGAGCCAAUCCCAGAAAGCCGAUCGUAGUCCGGAUUGCAGU